rnacentral:rRNA from 1 species
UACAGAGACUGCAAGCGUUAUUCGGAUUCACUGGGCGUAAAGGGUACGCAGGCGGUCGUGUGUGUCAGGUGUGAAAUCCCGGAGCUUAACUCCGGAACUGCGCCUGAAACUACACGACUAGAGCAUUGGAGAGGGAAGUGGAAUUCAUGGUGUAGCAGUGAAAUGCGUAGAUAUCAUGAGGAACACCAGAGGCGAAGGCGACUUCCUGGACAAUUGCUGACGCUCAGGCACGAAAGCAUGGGGAGCAAAAGGG